UACGGAGGGUGCAAGCGUUGUUCGGAAUCACUGGGCGUAAAGGGUGCGUAGGCGGCUGAGUAAGUCAGAGGUGAAAGGCUACGGCUUAACCGUAGUAAGCCUUUGAAACUGCUUAGCUUGAGUGCAGGAGAGGUAAGUGGAAUUCCUAGUGUAGCGGUGAAAUGCGUAGAUAUUAGGAGGAACACCAGUGGCGAAGGCGACUUACUGGACUGUAACUGACGCUGAGGCACGAAAGCGUGGGGAGCAAACA
rnacentral:rRNA from 2 species